UACGGAAGGCAGCAGUGGGGAAUAUUGCACAAUGGGCGCAAGCCUGAUGCAGCCAUGCCGCGUGUAUGAAAAAGGCCUUCGGGUUGUAAAGUACUUUCAGUCGUGAGGAAGGUGUUAAGGUUAAUAACCUUAGCAAUUGACGUUAGCGACAGAAGAAGCACCGGCUAACUCCGUGCCAGCAGCCGCGGUAAUACGGAGGGUGCGAGCGUUAAUCGGAAUUACUGGGCGUAAAGGGCACGCAGGCGGUUAAUUAAGUUGGAUGUGAAUCCCCGGGCUUAACCUGGGAAUGGCAUUCAAGACUGGUUAGCUAGAGUCUUGUAGAGGGGGUAGAAUUCCAUGUGUAGCGGUGAAAUGCGUAGAGAUGUGGAGGAAUACCGGUGGCGAAGGCGGCCCCGUGGACAAAGACUGACGCUCAUGUGCGAAAGCGUGGGGAGCAAACGAGGGAUUAGAUACC
rnacentral:rRNA from 1 species